rnacentral:rRNA from 1 species
UACGAAGGGGGCUAGCGUUGCUCGGAAUCACUGGGCGUAAAGGGCGCGUAGGCGGACUUUUAAGUCAGGGGUGAAAUCCUGAGGCUCAACCUCAGAACUGCCUUUGAUACUGAGGGUCUCGAGACCGGUAGAGGUAAGUGGAACUGCGAGUGUAGAGGUGAAAUUCGUAGAUAUUCGCAAGAACACCAGUGGCGAAGGCGGCUUACUGGACCGGUUCUGACGCUGAGGCGCGAAAGCGUGGGGAGCAAACAGG